UACAGAGAGUGCAAACGUUGUUCGGAAUCACUGGGCUUAAAGCGCGCGUGGGCGGCAUUGUAAGUGUCGGGUGAAAUCCCACGGCUCACCCGUGGAACUGCCCGGCAGACUGCAGUGCUAGAGUGUGGUAGGGGAGAGCGGAACUCCUGGUGGAGCGGUGAAAUGCGUAGAUAUCAGGAGGAACACCGGUGGCGAAGGCGGCUCUCUGGUCCACAACUGACGCUGAGGUGCGAAAGCUAGGGUAGCGAACGGG
rnacentral:rRNA from 1 species